GAAAGAAUCAGAUCUUUAUCUGUGCAUUUCUGGUGCCUGGCACAGUUUCAGCACAAACAAGGCAGAGAAGCCCUAAAGUUCAGAGCCCGGGUCAGACACUCCAGGUUUUAAAGGACACCAACACUCAGCAUGAUCUACGACAUUCUUGAGAUGGACAGCACAGAAGCAUGGCCGAGAGGAGCUACCCCACAUCCGAGGUCAGGGGCAGCUGAGACAAGCUACCACACGCCCGAGGUCAGGGGCGGCGGCCAGGAGGAGCUUCCACACGCCCGAGGUCAGGGGAAUCGACCAAGAGGAGCAACCCCACAUCCAAGGAGCAGUGGCUGCAUGGGAAAAGGAGGGCCAAGAGGAGCUACUCCACAUUCAAGGUCAGGAGGAGCGGCCGUGAGGAGAUACCCCUCGUCCAAGGUAAGAGAAACCUGAGUAAGAUGAUAGGUGAUGCAAGAGGGCAUCAGAGGGCAGACACACUGAAACCAUAAUCACAGAAAACUAGCCAAUCUGAUCACACGGACCACAGCCUUGUCUAACUCAAUGGAACUAAGCCAUACUGUGUGGGGCCACCCAAGACAGGAGGGUCAUGAUGGAGAGGUCUGACAGAAUGUGGUCCCCUGAAGAAGGGAAUGGCAAACCACUUCAGUAUUCUUGCCUUGAGAACCCCAUGACCAGUAUGAAAAGGCAAAAUGAUAGGAUACUGAAAGAGGAACUCCCCAGGUCAGUAGGUGCCCAAUAUGCUACUGGAGAUCAGUGGAGAAAUAACUCCAGAAAGAAUGAAGGGAUGGAGCCAAAGCAAACACAAUACCCAGCUGUGGAUGUGACUGGUGAUAGAAGCAAGGUCUGAUGCUGUAAAGAGCAAUACUGCAUAGGAACCUGGAAUGUCAGGUCCAUGAAUCAAGGCAAAUUGGAAGUGGUCAAACAGGAGAUGGCAAGAGUGAAUAUUGACAUUCUAGGAAUCAGCGAACUAAAAUGGACUGGAAUGGGUGAAUUUAACUUAGAUGACCAUUAUAUCUACUACUGUGGGUAGGAAUCCCUUAGAAGAAAUGGAGUAGCCAUCAUGGUCAACAAAAGAGUCCAAAAUGCAGUACUUGGAUGCAAUCUCAAAAACAACAGAAUGAUCUCUGUUCGUUACCAAGGCAAACCAUUAAAUAUCACUGUAAUCCAAGCCCAUGCCCCGACCAGUAACACUGAAGAAGCUGAAGUUGAACACUUCUAUGAAGACCUACAAGACCUUCUAGAACUAACACCCCAAAAAAGAUGUCCUUCUCAUUAUAGGGGACUGGAAUGCAAAAAUAGGAAGUCAAGAAACACCUGGAGUAACAGGCAAAUUUGGCCUUGGUAUACAGAAUGAAGCAGGGCAAUGGCUAAUAGAGUUUUGCCAAGAGAAUGCACUGGUCAUAGCAAACACCCUCUUCCUACAACACAAGAGAAGACUCUACACAUUGACAUCACCAGAUGGUCAACACUGAAAUCAGAUUGAUCAUAUUCUUUGCAGCCAAAGAUGGAGAAACUCCAUACAGUCAGCAAAAACAAGACUGGGAGCUGACUGUGCCUCAGAUCAUGAACUCCUUAUUGCCAAAUUCAGACUGAAAUUGAAGAAAGUAGGGAAAACCACCAGACCAUUCAGGUAUGACCUAAAUCAAAUCCCUUAUGAUUACACAGUGGAAGUGAGAAAUAGAUUUAAGGGUCUAGUUCUGAUAGACA
rnacentral:lncRNA from 1 species